AACGAACGCUGGCGGCAUGCCUAACACAUGCAAGUCGAACGAGACCUUCGGGUCUAGUGGCGCACGGGUGCGUAGCGCGUGGGAACCUGCCCUUAGGUUCGGAAUAACUCCCCGAAAGGGGUGCUAAUACCGGAUAAUGUCUUCGGACCAAAGAUUUAUCGCCUUUGGAUGGGCCCGCGUUGGAUUAGCUAGUUGGUAGGGUAAAAGCCUACCAAGGCGACGAUCCAUAGCUGGUCUGAGAGGAUGAUCAGCCACACUGGGACUGAGACACGGCCCAGACUCCUACGGGAGGCAGCAGUGGGGAAUAUUGGACAAUGGGCGAAAGCCUGAUCCAGCAAUGCCGCGUGAGUGAUGAAGGCCUUAGGGUUGUAAAGCUCUUUUACCCGGGAUGAUAAUGACAGUACCGGGAGAAUAAGCUCCGACUAACUCCGUG
rnacentral:rRNA from 1 species